UCCGGUUGAUCCUGCCGGACCCUACUGCUAUCGGGAUAGGACUAAGACAUGCAUGUCGUGCGUCUCUUGGCAAUGAAAGAGACGCGGCAGACGGCUCAGUAACAUGUGGCUAACCUGCCCUUAGGACAGACACAACCCCGGGAAACUGGGGCUAAUGUCUGAUAGGUGUGGGCUCCUGGAAUGGAUCCACACCCAAAGGACUACUAGAUCAUGCUUUAGACGUUGCCUAAGGAUGGGGCCGCAGCCGAUCAGGUUGUUGGCGAGGCGACGGCUCACCAAGCCUAUAACCGGUACGGGCCGCGGGAGCGGUAGCCCGGAGAUGGACACUGAGAUAAGGGUCCAGGCCCUACGGGGCGCAGCAGUCGCGAAAACUCCACAAUGCGCGAAAGCGCGAUGGGGCUAUCCCGAGUGCCGUCCGCUGAGGAUGGCUUUUCUCCAGUGUAAGGAGCUGGAGGAAUAAGGAGAGGGCAAGUCUGGUGUCAGCCGCCGCGGUAAUACCAGCUCUCCGAGUGGUAGGGACGUUUAUUGGGCUUAAAGCGUCCGUAGCCGGCUCAGCAAGUCCUCCGUUAAAUCCAGCGAUUCAAUCGUUGGACUGCGGGGGAUACUGUUGGGCUAGGGGACGGGAGAGGCCGACGGUAUUCUCGGAGUAGGGGUGAAAUCCUAUAAUGCCGGGAGGACCACCAGUGGCGAAGGCUGUCGGCUAGAACGAGCUCAACGGUGAGGGACGGAAGCUGGGGGAGCGAACCGGAUUAGAUACCCGGGUAGUCCCAGCUGUAAACGAUGCGGGCUAGGUGUUAGGGUGGCUACGUGCCACUCUAGUGCCGCAGCGAAGGCAUUAAGCCCGCCGCCUGGGGAGUACGGCCGCAAGGCUGAAACUUAAAGGAAUUGGCGGGGGAGCACCACAAGGCGUGAAGCGUGCGGUUUAAUUGGAGUCAACGCCG
rnacentral:rRNA from 1 species